rnacentral:rRNA from 1 species
UACAGAGGUCUCAAGCGUUGUUCGGAUUCAUUGGGCGUAAAGGGUGCGUAGGCGGCGCGGUAAGUCGGGUGUGAAAUCUCGGGGCUUAACUCCGAAACUGCAUUCGAUACUGCCGUGCUUGAGGACUGGAGAGGAGACUGGAAUUUACGGUGUAGCGGUGAAAUGCGUAGAUAUCGUAAGGAAGACCAGUGGCGAAGGCGGAUCUCUGGACAGUUACUGACACUGAGGCACGAAGGCCAGGGGAGCAAACGGG